rnacentral:rRNA from 1 species
ACGCACGCUGGCGGUGUGCUUCACACCUGCAAGUCGAACGGUAAGGCCCUUUCGGGGGUACACGAGUGGCGAACGGGUGAGUAACACGUGAGUAACCUGCCCUCAUCUCUGGGAUAACAGUCGGAAACGGUUGCUAAUACUGGAUAUGAGCCUGCAAGGCAUCUUGUGGGUUGGAAAGAUUUUUUGGUUGGGGAUGGACUCGCGGCCUAUCAGCUUGUUGGUGAGGUAGUGGCUCACCAAGGCUUCGACGGGUAGCCGGCCUGAGAGGGUGACCGGCCACAUUGGGACUGAGAUACGGCCCAAACUCCUACGGGAGGCAGCAGUGGGGAAUAUUGCACAAUGGACGGAAGUCUGAUGCAGCAACGCCGCGUGCGGGAUGACGGCCUUCGGGUUGUAAACCGCUUUCAAUUGUGACGAAGCUUUUUGUGACGGUAGCAGUAGAAGAAGCACCGGCUAACUACGUG